rnacentral:rRNA from 1 species
UACGGAGGGGGCGAGCGUUGUUCGGAAUCACUGGGUGUAAAGGGUGCGUAGGUGGGUUGGUAAGUCAGUGGUGAAAUCCCCGAGCUUAACUUGGGAACUGCCAUUGAUACUAUCAGUCUUGAAUACCGUGGAGGUCAGCGGAAUAUGUCAUGUAGCGGUGAAAUGCUUAGAUAUGACAUAGAACACCAAUUGCGAAGGCAGCUGGCUACACGAAUAUUGACACUCAGGCACGAAAGCGUGGGGAUCAAACAGG